rfam:Gossypium arboreum cultivar AKA8401 contig_68820_1, whole genome shotgun sequence.
AAGCCAUGUAUCGAGCAUUUUCUGAUUAAUUCCUUGAAUCGCUCCCAAGUUUCAUACAAUGUCUCAUCCUCAUAUUGCCAAAAACAGGCAAUAUCAUUCCUUAAUUU